rnacentral:lncRNA from 10 species
GAACCUGGAAGAGUCAGAGGGGUUGUGGCUUUGAGGACAAUUGUUCAAGUGAGAAGAGGGCUGUGCAGAUCUCAAGAUGACAUCGGGAUCCUGAUGUGAAGUUUUCCUGCUUCUGGAGGAGGGAAGCAGAGGGCUGUUUUGCCUCCUCUGGGCCAGGGAUGCAUGGAAUGGCAGAGGUGGGGGCUCCCAGCUAUGGUGACUGGGAGGGCAGGUCGGGGUCCCUGGAAGCAGAUCCUGAGACAAAGUCCCCUGUGCAAGAGAUUUAUUUCAAAGGUGUGCCCAGGUCUUGGUGGCCCAGGGUGGGCCUUGGCCUUCAGCCUGCUGACCCAGGACCCUCACUCCUUCCAUAGUGGGGACCAGUGCCUGUCUGAGCCCCAUAUUCCAUUGUGUAAGGAUAUCGGAGGAUGCAAGUCCCCAAGACCUCCCCGACACUGCUGGUGGAGUGCAAAUUGAUGCAACCACAUUGGAAAACAAUUUGGCAGUAUCUCAUGGAGGUGAAUAUUCAGCAAUUCCACUCCCAGGUAAAUACCCAAGAGAAACUCUUGCACACACACAGCAGCAGACAUGACAAGAAUGCUUAUAACAGUUCUGUCC